AGAUUGUUCGAGAUAAGACAAGUGAAAGAAACUUCAGAGCCGUUCUACCAUGAGCCUGACAGGAAGAACUCCAACAGCUACUGAAUGUUCCUGUGGUCCCCUCAAGCCUACAGGAGGAGCCCUACGAGGACGAGCUGGUCCACCUGAUGGCGGCCAGUUGCUGCGGUUCAAAGGCAACACCGACUACGUGGAUUUCUACUGGACCACACGGAGGCGUUCAAACCAGACCAACAAGUUCACCGACUCCCCGACUCGUGGGUCUGAGGAUGCCGCCGAGCCUCGGUCCAGCCGGCCUCCUGUCUGUGGAUGUUUGAGUGCUGAGAGGUUUGUGGAUGCAUGUGAACGUAUCUGUGUUGAAACAGUAGCUUUGGACUCACUAACGCCGGGAAAAACCAAGAGCUCCUUUAUUUGUGACUUCCAUUAAAAAAAAACUGAUGAAAAUAAGUUUGCCAGGGGUCUGACUGAUAACAGAUGAUUAAAUAAUGAAAAUAACAGUUUAAAUAUUCCUUUAAACAAUCCUUUUUGGUCUACAUUUCCUUUACACUGACUUCUUGGUAUUUUGGGUAGAAUAUACCAUUAAGCCCAAUGUUCAAGGGUUCUUCUGGGAAUAUACCAUUAAACCAACCUUUUAGGUAAAUGUUCCAGGAUGUUGGGUAGAAUAUACCAUCAGAUCAACCUUUUAGGUCUACAUUUAAGGUGGAAUACUCCUUUACACCAAGAUUUUUUUUGGUCUACAUUGAAAGAUUUUAGGUGAAAUAUUCCUUUGAACGAACUUUUUAAGUUUAUGUUCAAGGAUGUUGGGUGGAAUAUACCAUCAGACCAACCUCCAAGGUCUACAGUAGUGAAUUUUAGGUGGAAUAUACCAUUAAACUCACCUUUUAGGUCUACAUUGGAGGAUUUUAGGUGGAAUUUUUUCUCCAAACCGUCUUUUAGUUUACAUUUACGGAUGUUUAGGAUGGUAUAUUCUUCCGAACCAAUUUCUCAGGUCUAUAUUUCAGGUGGAAUAUUCCUCCAUACUAACUUUUUUGGUCUACACUGAAGGAUUUUUUCUAAACCACCCUUUCAGUUCUAUAUUUGAGGUUUUAGGUGGAAUAUUCCUUUUAACCAGCCCCUCAUGUCUCUUUGAGGAUUUUGGAUGGAAUACUCGGUUAAACCAACAUUUUAGGUGCAUGUCCAAGGAUUUUUGGUGGAAUGUUCCUUUAAGAUCGAUGUGUGAGGACCUUGUAGGUGGAAUACUUCCUGAAACCAACCUUUAAGGUCAACAUUCAAAGAUUUAAGGUGAAAUAUUCCUUUAAAUCAACCUAAAUUUCAUGUUUUGAUCAUUAUCAAGUGAGAAACCUCAAUCCAGACUCCUCAUAAUGACGUUUGAGAUUUAUGCUGCUGUUAUUUGUUUCGUCCAGACUAAAUGACAGAAAUCCACAACUGUAAUUUUAUUUCAGGACUCGGUUAUUAAAUGUCAAAACAAUCCAUGUGACUCUAAAAACUCAACAGCUUUACAAACUCUAAGAUUAAAAUCUCCACAAGGAUCCAAAUAAGUUGGACUUCUACAUGAGAGCUUUAAUUAUUCUUCAUCUACUUCCUGAAAAGUUUGGUCAAUAAAAAAGACAAAAACUAACAUUUUCAGUUGAACUAAAGACAGACUGUUAUUUUUCUGCUCACAUGUUGUGUUGUUGUAAAUGUACUCUUUCAAAUAAAUAGCCACCUAACCCCCUGGAAACCA